GGAUACUUGCAUAUUGCCAAAUACCCUGAAGAUCCAGUCUGAUCUUAGAAGCUAAGUAGGGUCAGCUCUAGUAAAUACCUGGAUUGGUGACAGCCAAUGAGUACUGAGUUCUGUAGGCU
rnacentral:rRNA from 11 species